UUAUGAUGAAACCUAAACUGAAAUAGCUGGAAUUACCGGCAGAUUGUUCAGUGGUGACUCUCGGUUUUCUGAGU
ensembl:snoRNA small nucleolar RNA SNORD65